GCUUCGGUGGCCUAGUGGUUAGAGCGUCCGCCUAGGAUGCCAUUGGUCGUGGGUUCGAUACCCGGUCGAGUUA